rnacentral:rRNA from 1 species
AGUGAACGCUGGCGGUAGGCCUAACACAUGCAAGUCGAACGGCAGCACAGUAAGAGCUUGCUCUUACGGGUGGCGAGUGGCGGACGGGUGAGGAAUUCAUCGGAAUCUACUUUUUCGUGGGGGAUAACGUAGGGAAACUUACGCUAAUACCGCAUACGACCUACGGGUGAAAGCAGGGGAUCUUCGGACCUUGCGCGAUUGAAUGAGCCGAUGUCGGAUUAGCUAGUUGGCGGGGUAAAGGCCCACCAAGGCGACGAUCCGUAGCUGGUCUGAGAGGAUGAUCAGCCACACUGGAACUGAGACACGGUCCAGACUCCUACGGGAGGCAGCAGUGGGGAAUAUUGGACAAUGGGCGCAAGCCUGAUCCAGCCAUACCGCGUGGGUGAAGAAGGCCCUCGGGUUGUAAAGCCCUUUUGUUGGGAAAGAAAAGCAGCAGGUUAAUACCCCGCUGUUCUGACGGUACCAAAAGAAUAAGCACCGGCUAACUUCGUG